UAGUUAAAAUGUCACGAAGACACCUAAUCCAAUGAAAAAGAAAGGUGAUGGGGAGAAAAAGAAAGCAUAAGAAAGGUACGUAUAAAAACUUACUUUCAUUUCUUCUAACAUCUACAAAAAAUGAUGCUAGGAAGCAUCACACACACAUAAAAAAAAAAGAGAAGAGAAAAGAAAGUGCUCCUCCAAACCAACAGUGUCUCGACCACACCAAGAUCAAGAUCCAAGAUAAGGAAGGCAUAAUCCUCAUCCGAAGAAAAUGCCCCAACUUCCUCAUCACUAUUCUCAGGGCAGAGGCGGUGCAGAUCCAACUACGACAUUAGGUGUUUUAUGCAGGCUUUGUUGUUUUCAAAGUCCUGAAUAAACCCAACUGUA
rnacentral:lncRNA from 1 species